GCUGUGAGGCAUGCUGGAGGUAUCAGAAGUGCGAAUGCUGACAUAAGUAACGAUAAAGCGGGUGAAAAGCCCGCUCGCCGGAAGACCAAGGGUUCCUGUCCAACGUUAAUCGGGGCAGGGUGAGUCGACCCCUAAGGCGAGGCCGAAAGGCGUAGUCGAUGGGAAACAGGUUAAUAUUCCUGUACUUGGUGUUACUGCGAAGGGGGGACGGAGAAGGCUAUGUUAGCCGGGCGACGGUUGUCCCGGUUUAAGCAUGUAGGCUGGUUAUCCAGGCAAAUCCGGAUAAUCAAGGCUGAGGUGUGAUGACGAGGCACUACGGUGCUGAAGUAACAAAUGCCCUGCUUCCAGGAAAAGCCUCUAAGCAUCAGGUAACAUCAAAUCGUACCCCAAACCGACACAGGUGGUCAGGUAGAGAAUACCAAGGCGCUUGAGAGAACUCGGGUGAAGGAACUAGGCAAAAUGGUGCCGUAACUUCGGGAGAAGGCACGCUGGUGUGUAGGUGAAGCCCCUGCGGGUGGAGCUGAGACCAGUCGAAGAUACCAGCUGGCUGCAACUGUUUAUUAAAAACACAGCACUGUGCAAACACGAAAGUGGACGUAUACGGUGUGACGCCUGCCCGGUGCCGGAAGGUUAAUUGAUGGGGUUAUCCGUAAGGAGAAGCUCUUGAUCGAAGCCCCGGUAAACGGCGGCCGUAACUAUAACGGUCCUAAGGUAGCGAAAUUCCUUGUCGGGUAAGUUCCGACCUGCACGAAUGGCGUAAUGAUGGCCAGGCUGUCUCCACCCGAGACUCAGUGAAAUUGAACUCGCUGUGAAGAUGCAGUGUACCCGCGGCAAGACGGAAAGACCCCGUGAACCUUUACUAUAGCUUGACACUGAACAUUGAGCCUUGAUGUGUAGGAUAGGUGGGAGGCUUUGAAGCGUGGACGCCAGUCUGCGUGGAGCCAACCUUGAAAUACCACCCUUUAAUGUUUGAUGUUCUAACGUUGGCCCCUGACCGGGGUUGCGGACAGUGUCUGGUGGGUAGUUUGACUGGGGCGGUCUCCUCCCAAAGCGUAACGGAGGAGCACGAAGGUUAGCUAAUCCUGGUCGGACAUCAGGAGGUUAGUGCAAUGGCAUAAGCUAGCUUGACUGCGAGCGUGACGGCGCGAGCAGGUGCGAAAGCAGGUCAUAGUGAUCCGGUGGUUCUGAAUGGAAGGGCCAUCGCUCAACGGAUAAAAGGUACUCCGGGGAUAACAGGCUGAUACCGCCCAAGAGUUCAUAUCGACGGCGGUGUUUGGCACCUCGAUGUCGGCUCAUCACAUCCUGGGGCUGAAGUAGGUCCCAAGGGUAUGGCUGUUCGCCAUUUAAAGUGGUACGCGAGCUGGGUUUAGAACGUCGUGAGACAGUUCGGUCCCUAUCUGCCGUGGGCGCUGGAGAAUUGAGGGGGGCUGCUCCUAGUACGAGAGGACCGGAGUGGACGCAUCACUGGUGUUCGGGUUGUCAUGCCAAUGGCACUGCCCGGUAGCUAAAUGCGGAAGAGAUAAGUGCUGAAAGCAUCUAAGCACGAAACUUGCCCCGAGAUGAGUUCUCCCUGAGACUU
rnacentral:rRNA from 1 species